rnacentral:rRNA from 1 species
GACGAACGCUGGCGGCGUGCUUAACACAUGCAAGUCGAACGGAAAGGCCCUGCUCUUGUGGGGUGCUCGAGUGGCGAACGGGUGAGUAACACGUGAGUAAACUGCCCUUGACUUUGGGAUAACUUCAGGAAAAUGGGGCUAAUACCGGAUAGGAGCUCCUGCUGCAUGGUGGGGGUUGGAAAGUUUCGGCGGUUGGGGAUGGACUCGCGGCUUAUCAGCUGGUUGGUCGAGUAGUGGCUUACGAAGGCUUUGACGGGUAGCCGGCCUGAGAGGGUGAACGGGCACAAUACGACUGAGGGACGGAGCAGUAUCGAACGGGAGGCAGCAGGGGGGAGCAUGGCGCAGUGAGCGCAAGCCUGAGGUGGAGGCGCCGGGUGCGGAAUGACGGCCUUCGGGUUGUGAACCGCUUUCGCCUGUGAUGAGGCGGGAGUGACGGUAAUGGGUAAAGAAGCACCGGCUAACUACGUG